GAUGAACGCUGGCGGCGUGCCUAAUACAUGCAAGUCGAACGAACAGACGAGGAUCUUGCUCCUCUGACGUUAGCGGCGCACGUGUGAGUAACGCGUGUAUAACCUACCUAUAAUACUGGGAUAACUUCGGGAAACGGGCGCUAAUACCGUAGAAUAUACUGAACCGCAGGGGGCAAUAGUGAAAGACGGUGGUGCGGGCACGUAUAGAUGCAUCCGCGCCGGAUUAGCUAGUUGUGAAGGUAACGGCUUACCAAGGCAACGAGGCGUAGCCGACCUGAGAGGGUGGUCGGCCACACUGGAGCUUGACCGCGCUCCAGGCUCCUACGGGAGGCAGCAGUAGGGAACCGUCCGCAGUGGGCGAGAGCCUGGCGGAGCAACGCCGAGUCAGUGAUGACGGUCUUCCGAUCGUGAAGCUCUGUUAUUAGUGAAGAACAAAUGUGUAAGUAACUAUGCACGUCUUGACGGUACCUAGUCAGAAAGCCCCGGCUAACUACGUG
rnacentral:rRNA from 1 species